rnacentral:rRNA from 1 species
UACGAAGGGGGCUAGCGUUGCUCGGAAUGACUGGGCGUAAAGGGCGCGUAGGCGGCUCAUCCAGUCAGGUGUGAAAUUCCUGGGCUUAACCUGGGGGCUGCAUUUGAUACGUGUGGGCUUGAGUGGGGAAGAGGGUCGUGGAAUUCCCAGUGUAGAGGUGAAAUUCGUAGAUAUUGGGAAGAACACCGGUGGCGAAGGCGGCGACCUGGUCCUUGACUGACGCUGAGGCGCGAAAGCGUGGGGAGCAAACAGG